UACCCCCAUAUCAGCGUUGUU
rnacentral:piRNA from 1 species